GCGAAGGUGGAGGAAUUGGUAGACGCGCUAGCUUCAGGUGUUAGUGUCUUAACGGACGUGAGGGUUCAAGUUUCUCUCUUCGCACCA
rnacentral:tRNA from 1 species